rnacentral:rRNA from 1 species
GACGAACGCUGGCGGCGUGCUUAACACAUGCAAGUCGAACGGAAAGGCCUGUCCUUCCUUGUGUUGGACGGGUACUCGAGUGGCGAACGGGUGAGUAACACGUGAGUGAUCUGCCCCCAACUUGGGUAUAAGCCUGGGAAACUGGGUCUAAUUCCCGAUAGGACUGCAGGGUGGUGCCUGUGGUGGCAAACGAUUUUCUAGUGGUUGGGGAUGAGCUCGCGGCCUAUCAGCUUGUUGGUGGGGUAAUGGCCUACCAAGGCGGCGACGGGUAGCCGGCCUGGGAGGGUGGACGGCCACAUUGGGACUGAGAUACGGCCCAGAAUCCUACGGGAGGCAGCAGUGGGGAAUAUUGCACAAUGGGCGGAAGCCUGAUGCAGCGACGCCGCGUGGGGGAUGACGGCCUUCGGGUUGUAAACUCCUUUCGACCGCGAGGAAGCCGCCUGGUUGGAAGGGUGGUGACGGUAGUGGUAGAAGAAGCACCGGCUAACUACGUG